AUGCAAACAGUUGCCCAUGCAGGCAAAAACAGAACCCUGACUGGGCCUUUACGACCUCCAAUUAGGCCAAAAAAUGGCCCAGUUUUUUGUGACGCCUCAACACUUGGGUCAUCACUCGAGGUUAUUGCUUUUGAGUUUCAGGUUUCACAAAAACAUAAACAUGAUUGGAUGGGCGUCCUUGCCGGCGACCUCGCUAUCUCCAACCCAUCCACAGGUAUUCAUGUGGAUCACCACAAAGAAUAA
rnacentral:rRNA from 1 species